rnacentral:rRNA from 1 species
GACGAACGCUGGCGGCGUGCCUAAUACAUGCAAGUCGAGCGGACCGACGGGAGCUUGCUCCCUUAGGUCAGCGGCGGACGGGUGAGUAACACGUGGGUAACCUGCCUGUAAGACUGGGAUAACUCCGGGAAACCGGGGCUAAUACCGGAUGCUUGAUUGAACCGCAUGGUUCAAUCAUAAAAGGUGGCUUUUAGCUACCACUUGCAGAUGGACCCGCGGCGCAUUAGCUAGUUGGUGAGGUAACGGCUCACCAAGGCGACGAUGCGUAGCCGACCUGAGAGGGUGAUCGGCCACACUGGGACUGAGACACGGCCCAGACUCCUACGGGAGGCAGCAGUAGGGAAUCUUCCGCAAUGGACGAAAGUCUGACGGAGCAACGCCGCGUGAGUGAUGAAGGUUUUCGGAUCGUAAAACUCUGUUGUUAGGGAAGAACAAGUACCGUUCGAAUAGGGCGGUACCUUGACGGUACCUAACCAGAAAGCCACGGCUAACUACGUGCCAGCAGCCGCGGUAAUACGUAGGUGGCAAGCGUUGUCCGGAAUUAUUGGGCGUAAAGCGCGCGCAGGCGGUUUCUUAAGUCUGAUGUGAAAGCCCCCGGCUCAACCGGGGAGGGUCAUUGGAAACUGGGGAACUUGAGUGCAGAAGAGGAGAGUGGAAUUCCACGUGUAGCGGUGAAAUGCGUAGAGAUGUGGAGGAACACCAGUGGCGAAGGCGACUCUCUGGUCUGUAACUGACGCUGAGGCGCGAAAGCGUGGGGAGCGAACAGGAUUAGAUACCCUGGUAGUCCACGCCGUAAACGAUGAGUGCUAAGUGUUAGAGGGUUUCCGCCCUUUAGUGCUGCAGCAAACGCAUUAAGCACUCCGCCUGGGGAGUACGGUCGCAAGACUGAAACUCAAAGGAAUUGACGGGGGCCCGCACAAGCGGUGGAGCAUGUGGUUUAAUUCGAAGCAACGCGAAGAACCUUACCAGGUCUUGACAUCCUCUGGCAACCCUAGAGAUAGGGCUUCCCCUUCGGGGGCAGAGUGACAGGUGGUGCAUGGUUGUCGUCAGCUCGUGUCGUGAGAUGUUGGGUUAAGUCCCGCAACGAGCGCAACCCUUGAUCUUAGUUGCCAGCAUUCAGUUGGGCACUCUAAGGUGACUGCCGGUGACAAACCGGAGGAAGGUGGGGAUGACGUCAAAUCAUCAUGCCCCUUAUGACCUGGGCUACACACGUGCUACAAUGGGCAGAACAAAGGGCAACGAAACCCGCGAGGCUAAACCAAUUCCCACAAAUCUGUUCCUCAUUCGGAUCCGCAUCUGCAACUCGACUGCGUGGAACUGGAAUCGCUAGUAAUCGCGGAUCAGCAUGCCGCGGUGAAAACGUUCCCGGGCCU